GAUGAACGCUAGCUACAGGCCUAACACAUGCAAGUCGAGGGAACGGCGCACGGGUGAGUAACACGUAUCCAACCUGCCCUUUACUCGGGGAUAGCCUUUCGAAAGAAAGAUUAAUACCCGACAUAAAGGAGGGGGAUGCGUUCCAUUAGGUUGUUGGUGAGGUAACGGCUCACCAAGCCUUCGAUGGAUAGGGGUUCUGAGGGGAAGGUCCCCCACAUUGGAACUGCGGCCCGGUCCCCACUCCGACGGAGUGCAGCGGUGGGUAAUAUUGGGCAAUGGGCGCUAGCCUGAACCAGCCAAGUGGCGUAAGGGAUGUUGCGUUAUGGGUCUUCAACUUUUUUUAUAGAAGAAUAUGUAUUAUAUGAAUAAGGAUCGGCUAACUCCGUGCCAGCAGCCGCGGUAAUAC
rnacentral:rRNA from 1 species